GAGUUUGAUCAUGGCUCAGGACGAACGCUGGCGGCGUGCUUAACACAUGCAAGUCGAACGAAAUUAAAAAAUUAUCAUUGAGCUCUCCGAUGAGAUGGGAGCCAAGCGUCGUGACCGCGCAGCGGGCACCACGCGUUCAACAAGUGCAACACCAAGUCGAAGGGUUGAAUGGUAAUUUUUUAAUUUAGUGGCAAACGGGUGAGUAACACGUAGACAACCUGCCGACAGGAUGGGGACAACAUUCCGAAAGGAAUGCUAAUACCGAAUGAAGCGGAGGAGAGGCAUCUCUCUUCCGUGAAAGAUGGCCUCUAUUUAUAAGCUAUCACCUGUCGAUGGGUCUGCGUCUGAUUAGCUGGUUGGUGAGGUAACGGCUCACCAAGGCGACGAUCAGUAGCCGGUCUGAGAGGAUGAACGGCCACAUUGGGACUGAGACACGGCCCAGACUCCUACGGGAGGCAGCAGUGGGGAAUCUUCCGCAAUGGGCGCAAGCCUGACGGAGCAACGCCGCGUGAGUGAAGAAGGUCUUCGGAUCGUAAAGCUCUGUUGAUGGGGACGAACGUACGGAGUGCGAAUAGUGCUCUGUAAUGACGGUACCAUC
rnacentral:rRNA from 1 species